AGAUUUUGUGUCCACUCAUAUUUGCAUCAAACGUAUUCAUACCACGCAAACACUAGACCGGGAAGUGGUUCUACGGAGCAUACGUCAACGCCGACGUGUAAACAAAGUCAAAUCGGUAUUCCAAACACUGUUUGGUUUCCCGUUAACAAGCAAAAAAACACGAUGGUAAUUGCGAUCAAGAUCCCGAUGAUGCUUCAACAGUGCCUUGACGUUGGUUUGUAAGUUGUAACUUAUAUAUAUAAAAGUGAUAAGUCAUAAGUAUGGGUCCUUCAAU